rnacentral:lncRNA from 1 species
AUAAAAAAACUUAUUAUAACUUGUUGUUAAUAUUUUGAUAUAUGUGUAAUAGGCCCAAUUAGCUCGGGCCCGCACCAAAUGAACCAAACCAAACAAAAAAAUAAAAAAAUUAAAAACAGUCCAUUACAAUAAAAGAGCCCAAAUUACAGCAGGCCUAUGUGGCCCAAACCCAAAACAAAACAGCAAGCCCAAAGUCCUAACCCAAAUCAAACCCUAGCCCAACAAAGUUCAGUGAACAGAAAAGAAGGAACCUUAGGGGGUGCCGCAUGGCCGCCUCGCGCUCCUCACGCACACCUGUGCCGACGCCGCCGAAGUCUCCACUGAUUGACCUGCAAACAACACAAAAAAAGAAACAAGCAGCAAAAAACAAAAUAUCAGCAACAAUGACAGCAAAUAAUGAAAACAUAAUAGGAAAGUAGAAUAUUUUUUUAUGUUAUUUUCCUUUUAUUUGGCUGUAAAAAGCCAUCAAAAAAUCUGUAAAUGGGAGAUACUGAUUUUACAAAAAAUAAAACACAGAGAAAGUGAAUAGAGAAGGUGAUUUGUGGUUUCUACUUCGUUUCUUUUCGGUUUUUCUUUUGCUUGAUUUUCAUUUUUUUUAUAAAAGAUAAAAUAAAAAAAGGAGCGACUCACCUGGCUUCGGGAACCGUUCGCAACGGCUCCACGGCGGGCACAGCAGCGGCAGCAUGGAUGCUAGGUUCGAAACCCUAGCAGAGCAAAAGAGGGGGC